rnacentral:tRNA from 1 species
GUAAGGCGUAAGUCAUCGGUUCAAAUCCGAUAAAGGGCU